rnacentral:lncRNA from 1 species
UAGGAGAAUUUCUACCCAUGGUCCAAAAAUUCUUUUCUCUGAUGCCACUCUUGCCAUCUUUCUCCCAAUCUUUUCGAGUCAUUCCUCUCACAGCUGGCAGAACUUGUAAGCUCUCCAUUCGAACUUUCCUUGUCUUCCCCAUCCUGGAUUUCAAAGGAGUUGUGUUCUUCUUCUGUCAGACCUUUGAUGACUUCGUAGCAUCCUUAAGACUCGGGCUUUUGUAUAAUCUUCUAGAAGUGUCCAU